rnacentral:rRNA from 1 species
UAAUACGAAGGGGGCUAGCGUUGUUCGGAAUCACUGGGCGUAAAGCGCAUGUAGGCGGGCUAUUAAGUCGGGGGUGAAAUCCCAGGGCUCAACCCUGGAACUGCCUUCGAUACUGAUGGUCUGGAGUGUGGAAGAGGUUGGUGGAACUGCGAGUGUAGAGGUGAAAUUCGUAGAUAUUCGCAAGAACACCAGUGGCGAAGGCGGCCAACUGGUCCAUUACUGACGCUGAGAUGCGAAAGCGUGGGGAGCAAACAGGAUUAGAUACCCUGGUAGUCCACGCCGUAAACGAUGAGAGCUAGCCGUUGGGGAGUUUACUCUUCAGUGGCGCAGACAACUCGAUAAGCUCUCCGCCUGGGGAGUACGGUCGCAAGAUUA